UACGUAGGGGGCAAGCGUUGUUCGGAAUUACUGGGCGUAAAGGGCGCGUAGGCGGCCUGUUAAGUCGAACGUGAAAUCCCCGGGCUCAACCCGGGAACUGCGUCCGAUACUGGCAGGCUUGAAUCCGGGAGAGGGAUGCGGAAUUCCAGGUGUAGCGGUGAAAUGCGUAGAUAUCUGGAGGAACACCGGUGGCGAAGGCGGCAUCCUGGACCGGCAUUGACGCUGAGGCGCGAAAGCCAGGGGAGCAAAGCGGG
rnacentral:rRNA from 1 species